UUACCAUAUGUUUCAAAUAUGCAUGAGUCAUCUGGGUUAGAAAUUCUGAGGAAAAUUGUUAAUCAAGGCCAGUUGAUUCUUAAAUAAGCCAAACGUGACAGUGAUGUACAUUAUGACAAUUGGCUAUUUCCAGAACUAGUCAUAUACAAUAUUCAGGAAGAAAAGUGCUUUUAAGAUUAUCCACAUGUAACAAUACCACACAAAGGGAAGUUUGUUCUUUGGUGCACAGGGAUGCAGCACAUCUUGCCAAGACAAGAGGAUCUGAGCUAUCCAGUUGAAAGAGCAGAGGGAUCAGAACAUUACUGACCACCAGUGAACCCCAAGGAACUUCUCACCUCCAUAAUAAUGACAAAGACUAGAUUCAUCCAUACAAGGCCAUUAGAGGAAGACAGCUUGAAGUGUCAAGUUUCCAGGGGCCAGGGUUCUUCAACACUGUUGUUUGAUUUGCAUAAUUUUACACCUUAAAAAUGUUUUCGAUUUCAGCAAGCCAUGAGUAAAUAGGCCAAGAAG